rnacentral:lncRNA from 1 species
AGGGUCUGUUCAACUCCUUCAUUCUCAAUGCAAAUUAUGAAAUGCUAAAGGAACAACAAAAUGGUGUUGCUUAGCACCUCUGUUGAUAACCUGCUUCUUAUUCAUUAUUUAUGCUUAGCAGAUAAUGGAGAACAUAGAGAGCCAGAUGCAAGCUUUUGAGGAAUCUGCAGAAUUGAACAGAACUGGAAAUUGAGAAGAACGAUAAUAAGGUAGCAGAUUUUGAAGUUCAAAUGGAAAACGACCGGAAUGAGGGGAUGUUCUUCAAGAACCUUGGCCAGAAAGCACCAGUUGAUAAAGCCAAAGCUAAGGAGGAAGCACAGAAGAUUAAAGAUCUGACUAACGCAAAAGCAGGGUCAAAAACCAGGAAGAACAUUUACCUUGCUUUAAUGGGUGUACUAGCCAUAGUGAUUGCUGAUUCCUUCCUCUCUUCUUCACCUGAUUGGCGAAAAGUUGCAGUUCUCGGAGCAAUUUUAGUGGGUUUGAUCACUCAGUUCAGCUACGAGCAGAGAUUAGCAUCAGACAUAGAAAGAGCAGAAAAGGAACAGACAGACAAAGAAAAGUAAAGUCCUCCUUUUUUCUCAGUAUAAGGAAUUUAUAGUGUAAAAUCUUAGACAUGCCAUUUUGAAUGAAUAUAGCAUGAUAAAAUAACCCCAAGUGAAAACUUCCAACUUGGAUUUGAUACAUCAAGCUAUUUUCUUUUGCAUCAUCCACAUCUGAUCUUGGUGAUAUUACUGCAUCACCAAUAUCCAAUUUUGAUGCUUUGCUAACUUUCCUAUCACUGUAUCCAAACAGCCAAAAGGCCGUAGUACUCACGUUGUUGUGACAAUUUUCUGAGAAAUUUUUGUAAUCAUCUUCAAAUACUUUUUGCUGUACAGCUAUUUCUCUGGCUAAGCACUUUCGUGAAAUUGCUUGAAGUGUUUAUAUAUAUAUAUAUAUAUAUAUAUGCUGAGCAAACCAGAGAAAAGAAGCAUAAGAAUUCAAAUGUCUAGGAGAAAGAUAACAUACUUGGGACUUCUAGGAGUCAAAAUGUUUGAUACUGAACGUUUCUCAUCCAUAAUGAAAAAGAAGAUUUAUGGGCCCUGAAUUAAAAUGAUCAAGCAAAAACUAGAUGUUGAAGGGCUAGAUAGGCUAUCUGGGCCGUGGAUGCUCGCUGUUUGCCUAACAGAUGGUUGAAGGUUGUGUUCAGGUUUGUCACAAGGAAGAUCCAAUCACAUCUGCAAGUAUUGCCAUGACAACACGAAAACAACAUCACCUGCAAUUAAAGUAAUCAUAGUGUCUAUGUCCAGCUGAAACCCAUAUUUG